CCUUCAUUGCGUCUGAACUUUAGUUCAAUUUGUUGAAUAUCUGAAAAUGGGAAAAGUUCAUAAAGUCUGUCAUUUUGGGUGGAAAUAAUGGAGAUAAUAUCAACUCUACCCCCUUCGGUAUUUUGGGGGGAAAACUGAAGUAAUUUGUGGAAAACUAGCUUGGAACAUGAUCAUGAGUUUAACAGGUACGGCUUCUUAUUGAAAUAACUUGUGCUUAUUUUUGCAUUUAAACAGUAGAAGAACCAAACUUGCCUUGUUGUCGACCUCUGCAUUGCAUCCCAAGUUAGUUCAUUGUUCUGAAUACAAAUGAUUCAUGGUUAUAAAAUGGGGGGAUCUAUCCGUGACUUGCCAAACCUGGAAUUUGGCCUAGAUUGGAUUUCUUUUUUAAUUGGAUUUUGUUGGAUCAAAAUGAUAAUGUUUUAUUUUAAAAAAAUUAAAAUGACAUUGUUUAGAUGUAAAAAAAAUUGGGUUUUGACUCAUGGGUUGAUCAGUUCUUGGACUAAAUCUUAUAACCAUGGUGUUAUAUUAGGAUGUGGUUUUAGUGCUAAUUUAAAUCUUUUUUGGACCUCGGAUAUCCUGGAUGUAGCAAUAGUAUCUUUGUCUUCUGGAUUUGGGUUUUGUUGUCGACUAUGAAUAAUAAUUGUUGUUUACUAACUAAUGAGAAAUUAAAAGAAGCUAAAAUCUCUUUGAAAAACAAUGUAGUUCUACAUUUAAAAAACAUUAUUUAUUAGAUAGUGUAAUCAUGCUGUUGCUUUUCCAUCUAAAAAACCUUAACAGUAGCUACGAAUGAUAUUUAAAUCUUUUCAUAUAAUUUAUUUGUCAUUAUUAAAUUUAUUAGAAAUAAAUAAAUUUUUUUUUCUUAAUUGCACAGUGAAAUAAUCAAGCAAAAAUUUAAACAUAUCAUUAAGGAGCAUUUUUGUAUUUGUGACAUGUAUUGGUGGUCUAGUUUGUCGUCAGUAGGUCUUUUUUUUUUUUCUUUUCUCUCUACCCGUAAAAAUUACAACUUGAUCCUAUUUAUUGUUGGUAUUUCAACUUCAAUUUUUAUUCUUUUAAUUUUUAAUUUUUGUUGUUAACUCUUUUGUAAAGAAAUUAUUUGUUUUCAAUUUUAUUCUUCAAUUUCAAUUUACAAAUAUAAUAUUUUUCAAUUUGAUCUUUAUUUUUUUUCCAUGGCUAUUUUGUAAAAAUUUUAUUUGCUUUUAAUUUUAUCCUUCAAUUCAAAUUGAUGGUAAGUUUUUUAAUUUGGUCCUUAUUAUUUUGAUUUCUAUUUUUUUCUUGAUCCUUUUGAAAAAGUUAUUAUUCUUUUCAAUUUCAACCUUUAAUCAUCAAUUUGCUUUUAUUUUUCAUGUCAAACUUGAUCCUCAUUCUUUUGAAUUUUUCUUGAUCCUUUUGCGAAAUUGAUUUUUUUUUCAAUUUCACUCUUCAAUCAAAUAUAAAAUUUAUUUAGUAUUUGGAUUUUGAUCCUCAUUCUUUUAUUUUUUAUUUUUUAAAUUCUUUUGUAUAAUUGAAAUGUUUUUAAUUUAUCAUUUAAUAUUUGAUUGAUUAAGAAUUGAACUUCAUGAUUUUCUUUUAAAAUAGGGUGCUUCGGGUCUAGUGACUCGGAUCAUGAGUUUGAAAAGUUAAUAUAUGUUUUUUUAAAAGAAAACUUUGUAAUUCUCUUUAUUUUUUUAUCGGGUUAUUCUAAUCUCAUGAUCUGGACAGCAGAAUAUCCCGGGUUGGCUCAAUCUUAAUUAUCGAGAUUACAAAUUUGUCACGCUAACUCGAACUAGUUUUUUAUGUUCUUUUUUUACCCGUUUUAUUUUUCAUAUUUAAUGGGUUAUGAAAUGUAUACAUUAUUUGUCCUUUAAAAAAAAAAAAAUUCUACUCAAGUUUUUUUAAUUACUUUUCUAACAAGAGUUCAUGUUAGAAAACUGAUGUUUUCAUGUACUCUUGUUGAUUAAUUAUAACAAGAGUUCAUGUAAUCGCAUAGAAGAUCAGAGAAGUCAUCAAAAGGAUAAACUGGUGUUUGCAGCCAAUAUUAACAGGACAUCCAUGAAAGAUGACAGUCUCGUUUACACAAUUUCUCUCCUUUUUAUUAUUUACAUCUCUCCUUUAUAUCUCAAGUUGUUUCUAUUUAAUCCUUUUUCCUUUUGGCCGCGAGAUAUCCCGGGUUGGCUCAAUCUUGAUUAUCGAGAUUACAAAUUUGUCAUGGUAACUCGAACUAGCUUCACAGCAGGCAUGUGAACUGUAGUGAUGUUGCAAGAUUGAAAUCAAAGCAUAAAGGUGCUGCUUGCAAAAAAUCUAAGAUUGGUCGAAAGAGAUGAUAUUUGUUAAAUCAUGACAGAAGGCUAUAGCACAACAGUAAUUUUGGGAAAAGAUAAAUCACAGUAUAAGUUGUCUAAAAGCAGUAUUUUGCAGGGAUGAUAAGCCACUGAGCAGUUUGCUCAUCGAUAACGAAGAUUCUUGCACUCCUGCUAGACACCACCAACUCUCUCCUGG
rnacentral:lncRNA from 1 species